GAUGAAGAACGCAGCGAAAUGCGAUACGUAAUGUGAAUUGCAGAAUUCAGUGAAUCAUCGAGUCUUUGAACGCACAUUGCGCCCCCUGGUAUUCCGGGGGGCAUGCCUGUCCGAGCGUCAUUGCUGCCCUCAAGCACGGCUUGUGUGUUGGGCCUCCGUCCUCCUCCCGGGGGACGGGCCCGAAAGGCAGCGGCGGCACCGCGUCCGGUCCUCGAGCGUAUGGGGCUUCGUCACCCGCUCUUGUAGGCCCGGCCGGCGCUUGCCGACACAUCAAUCUUUUUUCCAGGUUGACCUCGGAUCAGGUAGGGAUACCCGCUGAACUUAAGCAUAUCAAAGCGGAGGA
rnacentral:misc_RNA from 1 species